rnacentral:rRNA from 1 species
AUUAAUUCGAUGCAACGCGUAGAACCUUACCUGGGUUUGACAUGGAUCGGGAGUGCUCAGAGAUGGGUGUGCCUCUUUUGGGGUCGGUUCACAGGUGGUGCAUGGCUGUCGUCAGCUCGUGUCGUGAGAUGUUGGGUUAAGUCCCGCAACGAGCGCAACCCUUGUUCACUGUUGCCAGCACGUUAUGGUGGGGACUCAGUGGAGACCGCCGGGGUCAACUCGGAGGAAGGUGGGGAUGACGUCAAGUCAUCAUGCCCCUUAUGUCCAGGGCUUCACGCGUGCUACAAUGGCUGGUACAGAGAGUGGCGAGCCUGUGAGGGUGAGCGGAUCUCGGAAAGCCGGUCUCAGUUCGGAUUGGGGUCUGCAACUCGACCUCAUGAAGUUGAAGUCGCUAGUAAUCGCAGAUCAGCAACGCUG